rnacentral:rRNA from 1 species
GGGCCCGCACAAGCGGUGGAGUAUGUGGUUUAAUUCGAUGCAACGCGAAGAACCUUACCAGGGUUUGACAUCCUGCGAAUCUCUUGGAAACAGGAGAGUGCCUUCGGGAACGCAGUGACAGGUGGUGCAUGGCUGUCGUCAGCUCGUGUCGUGAGAUGUUGGGUUAAGUCCCGCAACGAGCGCAACCCACGUCUUUAGUUGCCAGCAUUUAGUUGGGCACUCUAGAGAGACUGCCGGUGAUAAACCGGAGGAAGGUGUGGAUGACGUCAAGUCAUCAUGCCCCUUACAUCCUGGGCUACACACGUACUACAAUGGGGCGUACAAAGGGUUGCAAUCCCGCGAGGGGAG